ensembl:lncRNA
CCCAGCGGAGCGGUCACACACCGGAGCGGGUGGAGGAGCGAGGAAAGGGCCGGGGCUAGCGAAGCCCGACCGUCUCCCUGCCUCCAUUCCAGCGCGGCUCCCGGCCGCCCCCCGCGGGUUUCCCACGGCCGCCAAGCGGGAACGAGCACGGGGCAAGGCGCCCAGACCCGAGUAAGGGAAGGGGCUCGGCUUCUACGGGGCAGGCGGGCCGCGGAGGGCUGGUGGAGUCCGCCGGGCGGCGGGGGCGGCCGGGCAGGCGGAGGGACGGAGCGGGGAUGCCCGCGGCCCUCCUGCCGCCGCCGGGCUGUGCGCGGGUGCCGCAGCCGUAGCCGUGCCUGCGGCAGGCGGCGGCCAUCGCAGGCUCGCCGCCCCCGUGCGCCCCUCCGAGGACGGAGGGGUGGGGGCAGAGGAGGCGGAGGAAGCGGCGGCGGCGGCGCCAGGAACAGGGAGGCGGCGGCACGGCGAGGGAGGGAGCCAGAGCCGAAGCCGAGCCGGGCCCCGCGAAAGCAACAGCAGAGCCAGCUCCUCCUUCUCCUCCUCCUCGGACUCUCAACCAGGUUUUUCAGACACGCCCACAGUCCACAGCCCCUUCUGUUUCAUGAGCACUCUGAAAAUCAAGACACAAGUUACUGACUAUAUUUUCCUUAUGAAACUGAGGUAUUCAGGAGUGACUUAAUGACUUAUAAAUUGACAAGCUGUCUCAAAACUUCUGAAUUUGUGACCACCCCAUCUGUUACUUAUCUGUUCCCCUCCCAAAUGACUCCUGACUAUAGAUCAGCUGGUAGAUGGAGCGUCUAUCAACAAGAAAGAUCUAUCAAAGAGGUAAAUUUUGGACAACAGAGAAAAUUUAAAUGUUGGAACCCUGGGUUUAGAUAAUUUAGGUUUCUGGGAAUCUCCAAGUAUACCCUUAGGUAAAGAAUUUGGAUUCUAGAAUAAGCACUACAUCAUUACCAGUCUUCUUCUGUUCCUUGGUUGUUUUUUUGUUUGUAAGUUGGGGAUUUGUUUUGGUUUUUUUUUUUUUUUUUUCGGUUAAUUGGAAAUUAUGUUCCAGGAGAAUGAGAUUAUCUUCUUCAAAGAUUUCUGGAGUCCUUGAAAGAAUAACCUUCCUCCAAUGCCUGUGAGAAGGGCACUUUAUAAACCUGUGCAAAACAGCAAAACAUUGUCCUUGCUCAAAUCUCUUGUAACAACUUUAAGAUGUAUUGAUGACUAAAGAAAACUGCCAGCAGGUCAAACUCCCAUCUUCUGUGAUUUGUGCGUGUCAUGUUGGCCAUGACUGUCUCACGCUUGUUCCCUAACCUGUCCAUAUUGAUCUGCUGUAUCUUACAUGUAGAUGUCAGUCUCUAUGGAACAGAAAUUAGGUUUUUAUACUAUGUUUUUGCUUAGGAUGUUUCUUGAAGAUCAAUAGGUACUAUGGUAAUAUGAGUUUUAGAAAUCCUGUUGCCAUUUUCUGUAGUUCUGCUGUGUAGCUAAUAUCCUGACAAAUUGAUCCCAUCAGAAAUGCUUUCAGGAUGAGAGAUCCGUUCAGUUAUAUUGCAUAUGAUCUUCCACAGUUAUCUUGUCUGCAUCUACUACAAUUUGUUUCAAUUAAACAAGGCAGUUUACUACCAAAACCCUGAGCAGCUCAGUUUAAUGCUGAGUUUAGCCCUGUCUCAGCUGAAGGAGGGACCAGGAAAUCUCAAGAGGACCUUUCCACUCCAAAUUAUGUAAUGGUCUACAUUUGUCUUUUUGCUUUUGAAAUAGUUUUUCAUUUUUAUUUCAGUAAACUUUAGUUAGUGCUUUGCUAUAUUUUUGUUUUCUGGGCAGAGAUGCUGUGCUGGUGGUUGGAUGGGUUUCUUCCCUGUUUUGUCUCUUUUCUGCUCAAGGGAGUGUCACAGUGGUUUGAUCUUCUGGUUUCAAGGAUAUAAGGCUCCCUAAUGCCAGAUACUCAGAUUCUUUCACGGCUGACUCAGCCCUUCACUCUUUUUAGCAAAAUAAACUGCAGUUUUUAUGUAUGAAUUUUGCAGCUGUCACAUUAAAACUCCAAUGCCUUAACUGUUGGGACACUACAACCUUUUUUUCUUUUCACUCUGUUCUACUGCAUGGCUUUUGAUAUACAGAAAGUUAAGUCAUAAUUUAGUUUCAGCACUGGUCAAGCAAUAUGUGCUUCUCAAAACAUGUAGGAAAAAAACCCCCUCUCUUGAAAGGAUAAAUUUGAUAGCAUGUUUUAGCAGGUGGGAUAUGUAAAAAAAGCUAGUAUAUUAUUGGAAACUUUAGAAGAAAGGUAAGAAGCAACAGUGACUGACCUUAAAAGAAUCAAUUUUUUAACAAUCAUUUAUCAGAUAAAACAUCAGAAAAGAUUAAAAUAAAGAUCUUUGAUUCUUCUGCAUAGGAUUUUUUAGACUCUUAAAGUCCAAGCUUAUUCUGCCCGUCAGGAGUACAGCUAAUGAAGGGCUUUCUGAGGACUUUU